rnacentral:rRNA from 1 species
GCUGGCGGCGUGCCUAAUACAUGCAAGUCGAACGCUUCUUUCCUGCCCGAGUGCUUGCACUCAAUUGGAAAGAGGAGUGGCGGACGGGUGAGUAACACGUGGGUAACCUACCCAUCAGAGGGGGAUAACACUUGGAAACAGGUGCUAAUACCGCAUAACAGUUUAUGCCGCAUGGCAUAAGAGUGAAAGGCGCUUUCGGGUGUCGCUGAUGGAUGGACCCGCGGUGCAUUAGCUAGUUGGUGAGGUAACGGCUCACCAAGGCCACGAUGCAUAGCCGACCUGAGAGGGUGAUCGGCCACA